CAAUAGCGUAUAUUAAAGUUGUUGCGGUUAAAAAGCUCGUAGUUGGAUUUCUGGCUGGAGCGAUCGGUCCGCCCCGCAAGGGGUGUGUACUAGCGUCGUCUCCGACCAUCCUUGUGGGAACUGUGCGGCCGUUAACUCGGUUGUAUAUGGGAACACAUCGUUUACUGUGAAAAAUUAGAGUGUUUAAAGCAGGCUUAAGCCGUUGAAUACAUUAGCAUGGAAUAAUGGAAUAGGACUUCUGUUCUAUUUUGUUGGUUUCUAGGACUGAAGUAAUGAUUAAUAGGGAUAGUUGGGGGCAUUAGUAUUUAAUUGUCAGAGGUGAAAUUCUUGGAUUUAUGAAAGACUAACUUCUGCGAAAGCAUUUGCCAAGGAUGUUUUCAUUAAUCAAGAACGAAAGUUAGGGGAUCGAAGACGAUUAGAUACCGU
rnacentral:rRNA from 1 species